CUGUCAAGUUGCAUCCUUCCCCAGAGAUGUUUCCAUCUUGAGGGAUUCGUGAUUCCAGCCUUCAAGUUUUUGUUUUGUCCAGCAUAACACGGAACCAAGAAAGACAAUUGUUUUUUUCUGGUGACCGAGAUGUUGUCCAGAGGUAGAAGAACAAUGAAGAAAGUUUGCCAUUAACAAUCCCUCAAAUGUUUGCAGUCUUGCCCAUAAAACAGUGGAAGGGAGGAACAGAAACAGGCAGAUGCUUUGUUCAUAUGGGUAAGUUCCAAGCUGCUCAGAACUGUGGGACACUGAUGUCGUUUCUGUAGCAAAUUUCUUUGCCGAGGAUUGACUUGGCUGUCUGAAUGGACAGCUAAAGCCCUCUUCAGACUUAAACGCUGCAUUAAAACAGCUUGCAUCCUUGUGCCAAAAUCUCAAAAAGUACAUCAGGAAGCUCAGGCUCCUUCAGGAGCAUCAGACCACCUUUCAGCGUCCAGUCUCUGAUGUUUGCUUUGUUGAUUUGUUGAAAUAAGAUCCACUAGGGAUUUGAGUCUUGAGCUGGAGUGUCUAUCGCUGUAAAGAUGGGAAGACGAUGCUUGUGAUUUUGCAGGUGCUGUAAUACUUGUGACUAUGUCAGAGAAGCAUACAGGUGAUGAGGCUGGGCCUUCAAGAACCUGGAUAGCAUAAAGCAGUGCAAGAGGGAAGGAUUUAGCCAUAAAAUGCAAGAGCAGAAGAAUGAGGGCUGCCAAGUGCACCGUUUCUUAGAAGGCAGCAAGAUCAAUAUGACGCACUACAUCAAACAUCUCUCAUUUAGAAGGGAUUGUCCAGGCAUUGUGAAUCCUCUGGAUGGGACAGAUGUCACUGCACACCAAGGUAAAAGCCAGCUGAGAGAAAUCUCUUUUUAGGUGUCUGUAUUCAUAAGUGUUAGAAGAGGACAGAAAUUAAGUUCCCAGUCCUAAACAGGUUUUUUGAAACACAAGUGAUGUUCUGAGUACACAAGAUAAGACAUUUGGAAUUAAUAGAUGGCCCUGACCGCUCUUAUGUUACCGUUCCAUCAUUCUUUGCUUGGUGUUAAUUUGAGAAUGGAACUGCCUGAACCUUGCUGCUGUAAAGAUCAGCUGUCUUGUCUGGCUUUGUAGACCCUACUGUAAAAACCCUAUUGCGCUAUCCAUGUUCAUCCAGUUCUGCCCCCUGCCCCCGCCCCCCAAAAAUGAUGCUGGAGAUACUGCAUUCUGUUUGCCUCCAGGAAUAAUGUACUGUAUUGUCAUGAGACCUGGAAUGAAUUGAAUUUGCCAUCAAACAUGUUUCCUAGCAAGACCAUCUAGCUUUUUUAAAUUUUCCUAAAGAUGUCUCUGAAUGUGGUGAUGCUGUAUGCCAGACCUGUGAAAAUGUGCUGAAUCUCACACACCUUCCCUCCAUCUGUUCUGGGCAAUGUGGUGAGACCUAGCACUUGCGAUGUGCUUACUUGUACCAUGGAACGUUGCGGUUGCUCCAGAUUGCUGCUCUUGUGAAAAAUGCAAGUUGAUGUUUCAGCAAAAAAAAUGUUUGGAGUUUUAAUUGAUUUUUAAAUUGGAUUGUGUUUUUCACUUACCCUCUGUUUGUAUUUUGAAACAAACUCCAUCCACUGUGUGUUUUGGUAAAGCAUUUAGAAGAAGAAUUAAAUUAUUUAAACUAACCCUGGUACUGCAGAAUUGGAAAUUAUAAUUUAAAAACAUACCUGCAUUGUGGCAAAAUACGUAGAUACAAUAAUCAUGGUGGGUUUGGUUUUUUUCUUUUUAAUGAUCUACACUAGUGAGUAAAGUGCUUGGUAUGUGAAACUAUAUUAGGAGUCAUUUGAAAAUACUGAGGAAAAAUAAAAUAUUGUGGAGGCAAUAUUGAGGCAAAACUCAUCACUCUUAAAUCUCAGCUCUGGAUUUGUUGUGGUAUUGACUCUAAACCUGGUCCAAGCAGUUGGUCCAACACUGCACAGUGAGCGUGACAAGCACAGGAUCAGAUGCAGAGAGAAAGCUAUUUUGAACUUGAUUACAAACCAGGGAAUAUAAAAACCUGUGUUUUUUUCAACUGAGAAGAGCAGCAGUUUGAAGUGUCUGUAAGAAGUCUGAUUAAUCUCCAAGCUAGAAUACUGAAAAAAAUGGGUUUGUAAAAAAACCCAAACAUUUGAAACAAGGAUAUUUAAUAAAUCCAUCAGGUCAGGAUCAUACGGUACCAUUACAAUGUGAGGAAAGUGAUAUAGUAUCUAUAUGUUACAUAAGGAACAAAAAGCAACAUGAACAGCUUCAGCCACCCCGCAGAGCACACAGCUUUGUAACUAAAUUUGAAAGAAUAAUCAGGAAGGGGAAGAUAAAUGGAAAUAAUGCAGCAAGAGUUUAACCUGUACUUGAACAAUUACCAGCUAAUCACUUGUCUAUGGUAAGAAAGCCAAUUACUUCUAAAUCUCAGAAAAGCAUUGAGGAGUGUUGCACAGAGCACUGCUCAGCAUCUAGAGAAAAUAAGAGGGAAAGUGAAGGGGCAGGUCAGUGCAAGACUGGUACUGAGUGUGGGAAACUGGAUACAAUGGAGAAGAGAAACAGAAGACACAGAGAAAUGGAGAUUCUACCUGGAGAGGUAGAAAAAUCAAUGGUGCUAAUAGUUAAGUAACACAGGCUUCUGCUGUAAAAUGGGAGCUUACGAGUAGGAGAGAUCUGGUGACUUUAAUAGACUGAAAGGCAAAGUGACUGCUGUGGUUUAACCCCAGCUGGCAACCAUGCACUACACAGCCAGCCGCUCACUCCCCCUCACUCACAGGGAUGGGGAGGAGAAUCUGAAAGGAAUGUAAAACUCAAGGGUUGAGAUAAGAACAAUUUAAUAAUUUAAACAGAAUAAAUAGGUAAGAACAACGGUAACAAUAAUAAUAACAAAACGGAAAGGUGGGGGAAAAA